GCUUACACAUGCAGUCGAACGAUGACUUCUGUGCUUGCACAGAAUGAUUAGUGGCGAACGGGUGAGUAACACGUGAGUAACCUGCCCUUGACUUCGGGAUAAGCCUGGGAAACCGGGUCUAAUACCGGAUACGACCUCCUGGCGCAUGCCAUGGGGGUGGAAAGCUUUAUUGCGGUUUUGGAUGGACUCACGGCCUAUCAGCUUGUUGGUUGGGGUAAUGGCCCACCAAGGCGACGACGGGUAGCCGGCCUGAGAGGGUGACCGGCCACACUGGGACUGAGACACGGCCCAGACUCCUACGGGAGGCAGCAGUGGGGAAUAUUGCACAAUGGGCGAAAGCCUGAUGCAGCGACGCCGCGUGAGGGAUGACGGCCUUCGGGUUGUAAACCUCUUUCAGCAGGGAAGAAGCGAAAGUGACGGUACCUGCAGAAGAAGCGCCGGCUAACUACGUGCCAGCAGCCGCGGUAAUACGUAGGGCGCAAGCGUUAUCCGGAAUUAUUGGGCGUAAAGAGCUCGUAGGCGGUUUGUCGCGUCUGCUGUGAAAGCCCGGGGCUCAACCCCGGGUCUGCAGUGGGUACGGGCAGACUAGAGUGAUGUAGGGGAGACUGGAAUUCCUGGUGUAGCGGUGAAAUGCGCAGAUAUCAGGAGGAACACCGAUGGCGAAGGCAGGUCUCUGGGCAUUAACUGACGCUGAGGAGCGAAAGCAUGGGGAGCGAACAGGAUUAGAUACCCUGGUAGUCCAUGCCGUAAACGUUGGGCACUAGGUGUGGGGGACAUUCCACGUUUUCCGCGCCGUAGCUAACGCAUUAAGUGCCCCGCCUGGGGAGUACGGCCGCAAGGCUAAAACUCAAAGGAAUUGACGGGGGCCCGCACAAGCGGCGGAGCAUGCGGAUUAAUUCGAUGCAACGCGAAGAACCUUACCAAGGCUUGACAUGAACCGGAAAGGCCUGGAACAGGUCCCCCACUUGUG
rnacentral:rRNA from 1 species